rnacentral:lncRNA from 1 species
CACACAGAGCUUUGAAAGGCCACCAAGAACACAGUGAGAAGGUGGCUAUAAUCCAAGAUGAAACCCCACUGGAUAGACCAUCUUGGUCUUCCAGGUUCCAUUCCACAUGCCACAUUGUGCACCCCUCUGUGUCUCCCAAUUGUCUUCUCUGCCCUCAUUUGCCUUGGGCUGAUCUGUUGAAAGUCGCAGAGACCAGGCAGCCCUCUAGUGGUCGCUGGAACAAUCUAAUGAGAAGCUGGCUAAGGUCAUUGAAGAGAAGAUUG